UGUGUCAAUAUUGAGUUUAACAGAAUGCUGUGUGGUUUAUACCAUUUGUUGUCAUAAAAAAAGUCUAACUUGCUACAUUGACAAGCAGAUCUGAGAGACAUCUGUUAGAUGGACUUGCACUUUGGAAAAGCAGCACGUGAAAAAGGAAGUAGUCUUUACUGAAAAAAAAUGCUGGAAACCUGUAAUUUAAAUGUGUCAUUAAUCAUGUGAACACUUCUUAAUUACCAUUUGAAUUCUGUGUUGAUGAAUAAUAUUUUUGAAAGCAAGAUUUUCUGAAAUGAUGCUUCUGUACCUUACGUGAAUGUAAAAGGCUUGAUAUUCAUCUGGUAUAGAUAAGUGUGGGGUUGCUGAAGACAGCUGAUGGUGUGGCCUUUGGGGUCUGCAGAUAAUGAUGACAGUAGCCUGUGCUUCCAUCUUUGAGGAAAGCCUUUGCUCAUCCCUCCUCUUAAGUCUGACGUUACCGAUCAAGAUCAAUUUUCCUGGGCUGUGGGCUUCUCUGGGUAACAGUCUAAGCUCGUUGGUGAGUAUGGAGGCCAAAAGAGUGCAGCUGGCAAUCUUUCCAGGCUGCUGAGUUGGAAGGGAACAAAAGGCUACUUCUCUCUGAUGUUGGAUGAGCAAUGACCAAGGCAUUGCGUGCAGAUGUCCCUGCCGCAAUAGGGCAUUCCCCAUGGUCAUUGCAUCUCUGGGCUCUGUUACUGAAGAGUAAAUCCAAAGUGCAUAUAUCAAUGCUGAGUGAGCGGCUUUUGGGCACCUCUAAUCUUAGAGGUUUUGUAACAUUUUUUUGAAGUCCUAAAGUGUCCUUGUUGCUUGACUUGAGAGUAAGGCAGUAAUAUUGCUAAUAUGAAGAGUGUGCAUUUCCAUUAGCAGCAUGCAAGCUCAGCCAGAUUUCUGUUUCCCUCCAUUUCUGGCUGGUGGGAGUAGCAGCAGCUGCUGCAGCAAGUAUCUAGCCAUAGAAUGACAAGAAGGAAGAGUUUUAGGUUUUAUUUCUUUGUAAAGCUAAUAUUUCCAUUUUGUUAAGAAUUUCCUAAUUAUACGCAUACCUUCUGUAUAUUAUGGGUAGGCUACUCACAUAAAAUAAUAAACCCUCCAGAAAGUGGAAUAAGCUAAGGAUGAGACCCAAGGCAGAACUCGGCUUGGGUUUCUUACGUGUCUUUCCUUCGAGCAUGCUGUCUUCUAUUUCUUCUCCCAUCCCCAAAGGGAAAACAAAGUAAACCCUAUGAAAAUCCUUGAGACUUGUCUUCUGGCUGUGCUGGCAGGCUUAUAGAACUUGCAUUCAGAUACCAGAACAACUAAAACUCUCCUACUCUCAAACAAAAAUGACUUGUGCGGGUUUUUGAAGGGUAUUUUGCACUUUCUGCUGUGUUAUUUGGACCGAGUCCAACAGGCAUCGUGUCUUGUCUCUUAUCUCUUCGAACACAUCCUUUACAAAAGCAGCUCUGUAAAGCCAAGCCUGCCAAAUUUGUAUAGCUCUUCUGUUCCGUCUUUCUGCCUUCCCUGGCUGAAAGAAUAGAAGGGAAUUUUGGUUUUAUUUUUAGGAAGUGAUGUUCUAGGCAAAGAAUCAAAACUCCAAGCUAGUUGGUGGUUCUGCUCUGCCUCCCAACUUCCACUUGUGCCCAUUUGGAUAUUUACAUCUAAGUAGUCUAUUGCCUUGGAGCAUCUCUGAGGUUGCACAGCGGUCCUUUAACAAAGACAAGUCCUCCUAGCUUGCUGUGGACAGGGAUAAAGGACUGACCCCAUGGAAGAUGAUGGCAAAACUCCCCAUGAGUUUCUAGGGCACAAUUUCAUAUAAACUUUUUUGCUGUUUGUAUAAACAGCUAUAUUCAGAAAACAAAACACAAACAAAUCUAGUGUUGCUCUUCUCUGAUGUGGGGAUUUUAAUGGGCUUCCAGUACUUCCUUUGAGGAGUUACUUAACUUGGAACAAUUAUUUAUUAAACUUGGCCUGUUACUUACCCAGUUUAUAAAACCAUGGAUUGGAUUGUCAAAUGCUUGGCUGCACUUCUCACUGUUUAGAGGGUUCUCAGUGAAGAGACUAACCAAAUUCAGUAGUUCAUGUUCAACCUCUGGGGGUAUACAAGACUUUUUUAGUACCUUCCAUGACAAAGGCAGGGAGGGUUAGUGUGUUUUAAAUUGUAAAGGACGAUUUAUCGUUGUAUGAGCCAAAAGCUUCUUCUGGGAACUGUGUAUAAAAGUGCUGAAGCAGAUGCCUGUUCCGGAGGGACGGUGUUAGUUCCCUAUAGGAUGGCUGGAGUGUGGAGAAGCUGGAUGCUACAUUUUAUUUGUAAUUGCUUAUAGUUUUCCAGAAAGUGAAUUGUUAUUUUAAGACUCGCUGAUCUAGCUGAUGACAGUGUUUUAUCAGUCAGCAGAAGCACUUUCUGGCUACUCUUUAAUCUGUUCGCAUCAGCAUUAGCUUUGAAAGAAGAAAAAGUGUUUACAUGGAUAUACAUGUCCACACACACACACACAAGAAGAGAUCAUUACCUUCGCAGGCACUAUGUGUUCAAGUUUGAGAGCUUAUUUUCAUCAACUCCAGUCCUUGUUCCAGCUGAUGUCUUGCUCUGCCUCCUGUGCCAUUACUGCUGUUCCUAAACAGUGGCUUUUCCCUUUGGUGCAUCUUUCUUUUUGACAUUCACUUCCUUCUAGUUCUGAAAUGGUACUGAUGUUUAUGACCAAAUUCCCAUUUGGAGCUCAGGUAGAAGACAUAACUUGAGCUCUGCCAAUGGUAAAGCCUUUGUUUUUGAUGACUUGCAUUUGAUUGAAUUUGAUGACUUGCACUUUGCUGCAUUUUCUUCAUGUUGUAGCUUUUGAAGUGGCAAAAGCUCUAAAUGUGAAGUACCUGGAGUUUUGUGGUGACUCAAUACACUAAUUUCAUGGCCAGCUCAUUUCAGCUUUUGCUUUAUUGUCUCUCCAUUUAGAUGUGUAUCAACCCACAGUUAAAUCUCUCUUUCUCCCUGAGCUCAGUUCCCUCAGUUCAGUGCUUUUUGAUUUCAGCCUGACAAGGAGAAACAUGGUGGCAGGGGGUGCGUGUGUGAAGUUCUGAUGCAUCUGUCUCCAAAAGGUUUUAUUUCUGUGUGUCUGCUCACCUGAAAAGCAUCAUUUGAAUGGAGGGCUGUCAAGUUAUGUUGGUGAACUUCUAAUAUUGCUAGCUGUAUAGCAGUGUGCGCUGGUUUCUGCUGGUACCAGAGAUCUUUACAAACAAAAUUCCUUCAGAUGUUUUGACUUUUGAGCUCUAACAAGAUACAUACAUCUAUCUAGCAGUUUGUAUUAUUCAAGCUAUGUCUGUUUGGCAUACAGCCUGGCAGGACCCCAUAGUCUUCAGUGGAAUCUGAUGUUAUUUCUCACUACGAUUAUUAAAGAGAAUACUCACAAAAUAUUAAAUUAGAUACUUCAGGAUACCUUUAAACUCCAGUGAAGUUUCCUGUAGGGGAGAUAUGUGUUUGUGAGGUUUAGUUCAGAUUUUCCUCAUAUGGUUUAAGUCUUUGAAUACCUGAAAUUUUGAAUGUUUUUAUCCUCAUCAAUUCUAACUGAAGCAUGAAAGAGAUUUAAGUCAUUUGAUAGCUCUUUACCUAGUAUUCUGUGCAUUAAAAAUUCAUUUGCUUAUGAAAACAAGAACUGUGCAUCCCAAAUAGAAAUAUAUAUCACAUAUAAGCAUGUUAUAAGUUGGGUUUGAACAGUAUGUAAAAGGACAUAUGUAAAUUGCUUUGCUUUUUGUAUGCUAAUAUUCUUCUGCCUCCACUGCAUUUGAAUGUCCUUUGUAGAUAAGUGCUAGAAUUCAGGAACUUGAAACAAGUAGGUGAGAAGAGUAACUAUUCUGCUUGUGUAAUGAUGAAGAUUAAUGUGAAGACAUGCAUGCUUCUUCUACAUCUGCUUAAUACACCAUCAGUGGCUUCUGGAAAAAAACCUGCCCCUGUAUUGCCUACCUGCAUCUUACAGGUGUAAAUUAAAACUUAGAGAAAGGUGAUCUAAGAGCUUUGAUUUACCCUGAAGCUUAAAAUUGAUCUUCAAAGUGAGGUGGUUAAUGAGGCAGGUGAUACCCAGGCUUGUGGGUUUUUUGUUUUUUCCUUCAUAUGGAAGGAUUUUACAUAUACAUAGGUGUGUUUUGGUAUUAGCAGCUUAGUUAAAUCACUUCAAGAUACAUUUCAAUGUAUCACGGAGCUUUCUCUGGCAAGUUGAAUUCCACAUAUUGAAAUGCUGUUUGAAGUCGCCUUGUUUCAACUUGGCAAGCGCUACUAAAGAUCUCUGAGAGGACUUUAAGGUACUGCAGAGCCACUUACAGGAGUUGCAGGAAAUACCAGUUGAGGGUGCUAGGUGGGAAGAAGGGGUCUGAGGUUGGGCAGGAAAGAGCUGUUUGAUGGUCAACCAGCUACAGAGGGACCUGAAAACAGACCCGAAAGCAAAACUCGGCCUGAGCCUGCCUGCCAUGUAGCAGUGAUAGGGUAGCAAAAAGCCAGCAUAGCCAUUUUAAUGUUACCCUUUUGAGGAGCAGGAUAGAUGAGCCUAGAAGUGCUGCACUGAAGUGUCUGUACUUCUUUCAGGCCCCAUUAAACUUUAUCAGUGUGCAGAAAUGUAAAUAUGGUUUAACACUUUUACUUACAAAAUUAAAUCUGAUUAAUAUCUGUGUCUGCCUGGGGUAGCUCUUGUACUGCAGUGUUCAGUGACUGCUCUUUGUGUUUAAUAAAGCUGCUUAAAAUAG